rnacentral:rRNA from 1 species
AUGGAUCACGAGCCCAAGAUCCUAAUCUGGAAUGUGCACGGCCUCAACGCGCGCGCCCGCCUUACCUCCAUUUACUCACUUGUUGUAACCGCCAAUGCAUCCAUCGUUUGCCUCCAAGAAACAACGAUGGAUUUGGUUUGCUCGUCAACUGUCCUUGAAGCACUUGGAUCAGAAUUCGAUGACUAUGUUUACCUCCCUGCGGAUGGCACCCAUUGUCGGUGUCAAAACCGGCGGAUCUCGGGUAGGGGGUCCCAAACUGUGUGUCUAAGGCUGAUGGUAACAGGAGGCGCGGGACACAAUGUUUACCCAGGUUCGAGCCCUCUUGAUGGAGGUAAUACCCUACUUCCUGCUUGA